AUUGAACGCUGGCGGCAGGCUUAACACAUGCAAGUCGAGCGGGGUGAUGGUGCUUGCACUAUCACUUAGCGGCGGACGGGUGAGUAAUGCUUAGGAAUCUGCCUAUUAGUGGGGGACAACAUCUCGAAAGGGAUGCUAAUACCGCAUACGUCCUACGGGAGAAAGCAGGGGAUCACUUGUGACCUUGCGCUAAUAGAUGAGCCUAAGUCGGAUUAGCUAGUUGGUGGGGUAAAGGCCUACCAAGGCGACGAUAUGUAGCGGGUCUGAGAGGAUGAUCCGCCACACGGGGACUGAGACACGGCCCAGAUUCCUACGGGAGGCAGCAGUGGGGAAUAUUGGACAAUGGGGGGAACCCUGAUCCAGCCAUGCCGCGUGUGUGAAGAAGGCCUUAUGGUUGUAAAGCACUUUAAGCGAGGAGGAGGCUCUAUUGGUUAAUACCCAAGAUGAGUGGACGUUACUCGCAGAAUAAGCACCGGCUAACUCUGUGCCAGCCGCCGCCGUAA
rnacentral:rRNA from 1 species